rnacentral:rRNA from 1 species
AUCCUGGCUCAGGAUGAACGCUAGCUACAGGCUUAACACAUGCAAGUCAGGGCAGCAUGGCUUAGCUUGCUAAGGCCGAUGGCGACCGGCGCACGGGUGAGUAACACGUAUCCAACCUGCCGUCUACUCUUGGACAGCCUUCUGAAAGGAAGAUUAAUACAAGAUGGCAUCAUGAGUCCGCAUGAUAACACCAUUAAAGAUUUAUUGGUAAACGAUGGGGAUGCGUUCCAUUAGGUAGUAGGCGGGGUAACGGCCCACCUAGCCUGCGAUGGAUAGGGGUUCUGAGAGGAAGGUCCCCCACAUUGGAACUGAGACACGGUCCAAACUCCUACGGGAGGCAGCAGUGAGGAAUAUUGGUCAAUGGGCGAGAGCCUGAACCAGCCAAGUAGCGUGAAGGAUGAAGGUCCUACGGAUUGUAAACUUCUUUUAUACGGGAAUAAAGUUUCCUACGUGUAGGAUUUUGUAUGUACCGUAUGAAUAAGCAUCGGCUAACUCCGUG